CCCAUGAUGGCCGAGACUAUCAGGCAUUAAGCUUUUAACUUAAAAACAGUUACACAAACUUCAUGGAU
rnacentral:tRNA from 1 species